rnacentral:lncRNA from 1 species
UCAGAUGGUGUGUUAUUCACAGUAUUAUGGAUCUUGUUCAUGUCUGACUCAUAUCUCCUGCAUUUUCAUAGAAUCACAGAACCAUUGUGGCUGGAACUGACCUGUAAGAUCAUGUAGCCUGACCAUCAACUCAUCGUCAGAGAUUUGCAUGGCUUAUCCUUCUGGACCCCAAAGUACUGAGCUUCCUGUAUGUUGCUCUGCAUGGGGGAUCUGAGAUCAAACAUCAGGGAGCAGCAGCAGUCAGUGCUGGAGCUUCCGGACAUCCAUAUGUCAGAGAGUGCUCAGCUCAUGGAAUACAAGGGAAACAGCCAUACUCUGAACUGAGGAUGACAGAAAGCUGAUGCCAGAGAAAGUGAAGUGAGUAGACUUUCACUAGACAAUGUUCUUGAGGCUCGAUGUGAAGAAUUAUUUUUAUUUACACCAGAAUUGCAUGGUAUUUCCUGAAUAUGUGUUUGGAUAGAUUUGGACAAUAAUCCAGCCAAAAUCUCCAAGGUCUGCAGGGCAAGUGUCCUCCAAAGAGCAGUGAUUCCCCACAGAAACACAAAGUAAGCAUUAGACAGUAAAAUCUGCCUCACGGUGUCAGACCAGAACCUUAAAAACUCUCUGUCAUUAAUGGGCAGAUUCCCUUACUUACAGAUUUUGCUGAUAUGAAGUGGCAUCUUAACAUUAGGAUAAUUCUGCUGACAUUUCCAGACCUGCUUCUGGAGAUGGGAUUGAAGUGCUUAGAGUGGAGCCAGUAAAACAAAGGUCAGGUUUUAGGAGGUGUGAGAGAAAAAUGUGACACCAGAGUACUGCAGGUUAAACAAGUAUCGUGGUUUUGACUGAGAUAAUGUUCUUCAUGGUACUCGGUACGGUGUUGCGUUCUGGAUUUGGAAUGCAAAUGAUGUUGAUCCAGAUCCAAUGAAGAAUUUCAAAACAACCACCAGGUGGAUCAGGCUGCUAGAACUGAAGUGGCCCAGCUGAUAAAUCUCUAGACAGACUAGGAAUGGAUGGCUAGAUUA